UGAGGAAUAUUGGUCAAUGGGCGAGAGCCUGAACCAGCCAAGUAGCGUGCAGGAUGACGGCCCUAUGGGUUGUAAACUGCUUUUAUGUGGGGAUAAAGUUAGGGACGUGUCCCUAUUUGCAGGUACCAUACGAAUAAGGACCGGCUAAUUCCGUGCCAGCAGCCGCGGUAAUACGGAAGGUCCAGGCGUUAUCCGGAUUUAUUGGGUUUAAAGGGAGCGUAGGCUGGAGAUUAAGUGUGUUGUGAAAUGUAGACGCUCAACGUCUGAAUUGCAGCGCAUACUGGUUUCCUUGAGUACGCACAACGUUGGCGGAAUUCGUCGUGUAGCGGUGAAAUGCUUAGAUAUGACGAAGAACUCCGAUUGCGAAGGCAGCUGACGGGAGCGCAACUGACGCUUAAGCUCGAAGGUGCGGGUAUCAAACAGG
rnacentral:rRNA from 1 species